ACGAACGCUGGCGGCGUGCCUAAUACAUGCAAGUCGAACGAGAGCGACCGGUGCUUGCACUGGUCAAUCUCGUGGCGAACGGGUGAGUAACACGUGGGUAACCUGCCCAUCAGAGGGGGAUAACAUUCGGAAACGGAUGCUAAAACCGCAUAGGUCUUCGAACCGCAUGGUUUGAAGAGGAAAAGAGGCGCAAGCUUCUGCUGAUGGAUGGACCCGCGGUGCAUUAGCUAGUUGGUGAGGUAACGGCUCACCAAGGCCGUGAUGCAUAGCCGACCUGAGAGGGUGAUCGGCCACAUUGGGACUGAGACACGGCCCAAACUCCUACGGGAGGCAGCAGUAGGGAAUCUUCCGCGAUGGACGCAAGGCUGACGGAGCAACGCCGCGUGAGUGAAGAAGGUUUUCGGAUCGUAAAACUCUGUUGUUAGAGAAGAAUAAGUGCUAGAGUAACUGUUAGCGCCUUGACGGUAUCUAACCAGAAAGCCACGGCUAACUACGUG
rnacentral:rRNA from 1 species